rnacentral:misc_RNA from 1 species
GAUGAAGAACGCAGCGAAAUGCGAUAAGUAAUGUGAAUUGCAGAAUUCAGUGAAUCAUCGAAUCUUUGAACGCACCUUGCGCCCUUUGGCCAUUCCGAAGGGCAUGCCUGUUUGAGUAUCAUGAACACCUCAACUCUUUAUGGUUUUCCAUGAUGAGCUUGGACUCUGGGGGUUUUGCUGGCUCACAGUCGGCUCCUCUAAAAUGAAUCAGCUUACCAGUGUUUGGUGGGUAUCAUGGGUGUGAUAACUAUCUACGCUUGUGGUGUUUCCACCAGGUAACCUUCAGCAGUGGAGGUUCGCUGGAGCUCAUAGAUGUCUCUCCUCAGUGAGGACAGCCCUUUGAAUGUUUGAUCUCAAAUCAGGUAGGACUACCCGCUGAACUUAAGCAUAUCAAUAAGCGGAGGA